ensembl:snRNA U6 U6 spliceosomal RNA
GUGCUCGCUUCGGCAGCACAUAUACUAAAAUUGGAACGAUACAGAGAAUAUUAGCAUGGCCCCUGUGCAAGGAUGACGCAAAUUUGUGAAGCAUUCCAUAUUUAA